rfam:Neotoma lepida isolate 417 scaffold_815, whole genome shotgun sequence.
AGUGCGUCCUUUCCCUCCUGACUUUUUAGCAGUCCUGGGUAAAUAUUGAUUUGCCCCCAGUUUACCUUCUCAAUGACUGGCCAUUUGCAGACUAAGGAACCAACCUCUGUGAAGACUUGAUUUUUGUGUUCCUUUGGAGUCCCUUUCAUCCAUUCCCCUCAACUCCUUCCUCCCUCUAAGUGGCAUUGUAAAACUCAACAGUGACAAAGAGACAAAGUAGGGUUCCAGGCUCCAGUUCUUGGAGACUUGAGGGCAGUUUACAUACAGGUCAGACACGGCUGGAGGCCAAGGUCAAGUUGAAAGUUGCUGUCUAGUCAGCGUGAGAAACCGCAAUGAAAGCCUGGAUCGUAGGGCAGCAGGGAGGCCGACUGCCCACCUCCCCUCA